rnacentral:rRNA from 1 species
UUAAAAGGGGAAUAUUGCACAAUGGGCGAAAGCCUGAUGCAGCAACGCCGCGUGGGUGAUGAAGGUUUUCGGAUCGUAAAGCCCUGUCUUUUGGGACGAUAAUGACGGUACCAAAGGAGGAAGCCACGGCUAACUACGUGCCAGCAGCCGCGGUAAUACGUAGGUG